AAGUUUAGGGGUCCGAAUAAUGUUAGUUUAUAUCAACAACAUAGUACAGCGAGAAGAAAACACGUCUCUGCUAUCAUCUGUUCUGGUAUCAUGACAGUGCAUGAAAUCCAAAGAUAGCUUUGACUGAAAACCAACCUGUGUUCAGCAGAGGAACAGGUAACGUUCAGGCUAACAUCAGCUGACUUAAGUUAUGGAGGGACCAGCCCCAAAUCACCAGUAUUAGCUUACUAGCUCUGCAGUGAGUCUUUAGGAAAAUAAAUGGCCGGUCAUUGUUCAUCGUGAAUGACCUACCUUGUGAAGAAGGACGGAGUGGGUUAUUUAACGUUAGCAAACUUAUUUCAUUGCUAUCAGUGCGGAGCUAACGUCAGUUUUCCCUCCACUAGAAUUAGCCUGUUGACGGACACUGGACACUGUGACGUGUGGAGGAGGACACUUUUUAUCCAUACACUUGGAAGAAGAAAUCAUCAAAGACAACAAGGACAAGAAGUUCCGUCACGUAUAUCUUCGAAGCAGACAUACACACAAUAAUAUUCACCAAUCAACUGAAGAAGAUUUCAACGAAAUGUGAUACAAAAUGUGACAGCGUUGAUCCCCUGUGCUCCCAUGACGAUAGCUGCCACGUCCUUAUCCUUCAUGUCAGGGUGUAGGAAACCCCCCGGCAGCACUGGUAAUCUGUCUGGGAAAACAUAGCCGCAGCACAUCAGGACCUGCCUGAAACAUACAACUCUGUGCCGCAGGAGUCUCCAUCGAUCUGAGACAACAAACAAAAGACAUGUGGAGCGAGUGAGUUGGGGA